UGUGUUGCAUGGUUUUGUAAAAGGACACUGAAUAAUACCACAAAUAACUAUUUCAUAAACUGAUAUCCUAGUUAGAAUUUAUGAGUUGUAGAACAUAUUGAGGUUUACUUUCAGACUAUACUUUCAGACUAUCUAUAUCUGCAGAUAAUCCAUUUGUACAUACUUAACUUGAUAGUGUGUUUUUGUAAGGUGAAAGCUCUCCUUAACCUGUGGUCAACCAAGAUGUCUAUUGUUAUGGCCAUGCAAUUUUAAACAAAAGUGUAUCAUCAGAAGAAUGGCUGUAUGGAUUAUCAAAAACUGAAAUAUUUAGGCAAAGUUUUGAGUAUGUCUUAUGAUGUAAUUCUGAGAAGGAUGUCUUAUGUUGAAAGAUUAUUUUGUGGAUUGAUCAUGCUAUUAUAAUAAAUCAUCCAUUUUGAUAACAAUGCAUCAGAUGUCUUUCUCAUAUUUUAUUCAAAAUUUCAUUUACAUGGUACCUCUACAUAAUGAUAUAUUCUUAAAAUACCCAUAAAAUAACAAAAACAAAGCUUUUUAUAAAUCGCUAACAGUAGUCGAGAACUUUGGGGACAAUAGAGCAAGAUAUAACAGUAUACAGACAGGAUAUCAAAUGCACUUUUGCCAAAGGAUGAGAAGCUGAAUGGACACAAUGCCAAACAGACAAGAUGCCAGAAUGACAAAUUUAAUCUUAUUAAAUCUUAAGUGCCAAAUUGGUGAAUUGGUCAUUAAACUAUAUAGUAAAAGUGCAUCCGGCAUCCUGUCCACACAUGGAUAUAACAAGGAAUGACAUAAAAGUGCAUGUAAACUAUACAA